rnacentral:rRNA from 1 species
UACGUAGGGGGCGAGCGUUGUCCGGAUUUAUUGGGCGUAAAGAGCUCGUAGGCGGUUCGAUAAGUCGGACGUGAAAUCUCCACGCUCAACGUGGAGGGGCCGUUCGAUACUGUCGUGACUCGAGUCCGGUAGGGGAGUGUGGAAUUCCCGGUGUAGCGGUGAAAUGCGCAGAGAUCGGGAGGAACACCCGUAGCGAAGGCGGCACUCUGGGCCGGUACUGACGCUGAGGAGCGAAAGCGUGGGGAGCAAACAGGGAGUUAAGAAACCCUGGUACGUCG